CCUACGGGAGGCAGCAGUGGGGAAUAUUGCACAAUGGGGGAAACCCUGAUGCAGCGACGCCGCGUGAGUGAAGAAGUAAUUCGUUAUGUAAAGCUCUAUCAGCAGGGGAGAAAAUGACGGUACCUGAGUAAGAAGCCCCGGCUAACUACGUGCCAGCAGCCGCGGUAAUACGUAGGGGGCAAGCGUUAUCCGGAUUUACUGGGUGUAAAGGGAGCGUAGACGGCAGUGCAAGUCUGGAGGGAAAGGGGGGGGCUCAACCCCCGGACUGCUCUGGAAACUGUACGGCUGGAGUGCAGGAGAGGUAAGAGGAAUUCCUAGUGUAGCGGUGAAAUGCGUAGAUAUUAGGAGGAACACCAGUGGCGAAGGCGGCUUACUGGACUGUAACUGACGUUGAGGCUCGAAAGCGUGGGGAGCAAACAGGAUUAGAUACCCCAGUAGUC
rnacentral:rRNA from 1 species